rnacentral:lncRNA from 1 species
GUUAGCAAGAGGCGGAAACGGUUUAGCAUGUACAGCUUUUUAACCUUCCUCUGUCCCCGGCGCUAGUAGCGAUCUGCGCAUGCGCAAGAUGCUGUGCCCACCUCCAACUUUCCUGACGUCUCUUGUCAAUCCCAUGAGGAUCUGGGAUUUGGAUGCAGAGAUGUUUAGCAACUUUUUUAAGAUAAGUAUUUCAUGUAGCUGUUGGACUGUAAGCUCCCUGAGGAUAGAGACUAAUUUUCACCUUCCUGCUUCUAUCUUCAGUGCCUAACAGUGUAUAGUACCUAGUAGGAGAUGAAUACACAUUUCCUAGAGGAAUAAAAAAAGGAAAUGGCCAAAUGUUAAAUCCUGAUCUGCCCAACUCCCAAAUCUAAUUCUUUCUACUUCUGAACUCAUAAUUUAUUAAAAACAAUUGGUAUUUGGCCCAUGGUUUUUAAUCCCUUAUUUACUGAAUAACUGGAAGCGUUAUGAGCUCUGUUCCAAUGUCUGUUUGAAGUUCUAGGUAAAUAAUUAGUUACCGAGUUCCCGUCUCUUGGCCAAAUCUAUAAUUAAGCAAGUUUCACAAGACAUAGUUAGACACAGUCCCUGGUUCCCUAAAAUGCGUUAACAUUCACCCAGAGGACCAGACUUGGAGAAAAACAUAGGACUGGAAAAUAUUUACUAUACUCCAGUAUCAUUGCUCUCCCUUGUCACCAUAAGCAAUUACAGAACCGGAAAGUGCUUUUUUUUUUUUUUUUUUUUUUUUUUAAUCUAAACAUAAAUCUUAACAGACAUACAUUCUCAUAGAGUUUCUUCACAGUGCAUUUUAGGAAUGAAACAAUUUUUGAUUCGUUAGCACACAAUGAUGUUAACAUAUUACAGUUUCUGUCCAGGAAUUGGAUAAAGGCAAGAAGUGAAAGACACAUCAAGCACGCUGUUCUAGAAGGACACGUGCAGGUGUGCCUGGGAACUUGGCCUGAGUAAUGCUUUAAGGCUCAACAAGGCAGGCCCAGUGAUCUGUGAAUCAUCUUUAUCUUCUGAUAAAGAAUGGGCGAAUAAAGUCAUUUCUCCUUGCCUUUCUCUCUCACUCAUGUGUUGACCAAAGUUACACUGGCCAUGGCUCCAGUCAUCUCAGGGCACUUCAUAGGGCCUUUUCAGUUGUGUGCUCAUCUAUGUCGUCAUUCCUCCACUUCUUCCAAGUAUUUACUAAGAGCUCUCAUAGCUCUUAGGGGGCUUGGGAGGAACACAGCACAAGCUUCUAGGCUCUGUGGGCGUUAUUGACAAUACACCUGGAACUCAGGUGUGACUGUGAGGCCCCUGGCAGCUGAGCUGACGACUUAACUAUUAUCACCUUCCUUCCUCACCAGCUCCUGAGAUCCCUAAAAGUCUUUCUUGUUUCUGUGACCUGAGGAGUGUGAUUCUCCCUUAUGUCCCUCUGCGCGGGGGUCACUGUGACAUCAACACAAAGGUGGCUCUCUUGCCUUGACUGAAAUUGCACCCAUGUUACCAUGACUGCAUGAUUAGAGAGGUGUCAACCCUUUACACAUUACUUAGUUGAAGAAGGUGCAGGAGCUGUUCAGCUAUGUGGAUGAUUCUUCUUGCUUCCUUUAGUGAGUUUGGCUACCUCUGUUUCCAUUGUGCACUAAAUCUACUGAUAUCAUUCAAAAUAUUUUUUAGCUUCGGGGUAGGACUGGCUCUCCCAGAGUCAAAUAUUUUCUUUAUAUUCUCCUUAUUUCCUGCUUUGAGUUUCCCUCUAUUACAUCUGCUCUGGUCAAAAUCUUUUUUUUUUUUCUUUUUUGUCUGCCCCACAGCAUAUGGAGCUCCUGGGCCAGGGAUCAUAUCUGAGCCACAGUUGCAAGCUAUGCCACAGCUGCAGCAACACCAGAUCCUUAACCCACUGGGCCGAGCUUGGGGCCCAGCACUCCAGAGAUGCCACCAAUCCCACUGUACCACAGCAGGAACUCCAAAACAUUUUUUUUAAAAUAGCAGUUUUAUUGAGAUAUAAUUCACCUUUGAAAGUGUAAAGUUCAUUGUUUUUUUAGUUUAUUUGCAGAGUCAUACAUCACUACUCUCUAUUUUCCUUAUAUUUUUAUCACCCCCAAAAGAAAUACAUACUCGUUAAUAGUCAUUCUCAAGUCCUCCUUUUCCCCAGACCCUGGCAACCACUAAUCCAUUUUCUGUUCCAUGAAUUUGCCUAUUUUGGACAUUUCAUACGAAUGGAGCCACACAAUAUGUGGUCCUUUGUGACUGGCUUCUCUCAAUUAGAUUCCAGGUUUAUCCACGUUGUAACAGGUAUCAGUACCUCACUCCUUUUUGACUGGCUAAUUGAUUGUAGGGAUAAACCACAUUUUGCUUAUUCAUUCACCAGUCAGUGGACACUUGGGUUGCCUCUAAUUUUGGGCUCUGAUGAAUAAUGAAAGUUCCUACACAAGUUUUUGUGUGGACAUAUGUUUUCAAUUCUCUGGGAUAUGUAUCUAGAAGUGGCGUUGCUAGGCUGGCUCAGAUCUUAAAGAAACAUUUUAAUGGUCUUCAUUCUUAUCUCUGUUUCCCAGGGAACAGGUUUCUCUAUGGUCAUUAAACAAAAGGGAAUGACCAGCCGCAGGAACUUCACCAAGUACUGGAUACCACACCUGCUUUUCCAAGUCAGAUACAACCAUCUCCAUUCUAAACAGUCUACAUCUUUGAAGGACUGUGGCAGACCCAGGCUGGGGAUUAGUCACUGGGGUGACUCACAAACAGCAGCUUGCAGCGCCCAGAGGAGGCUCCCAUUUACAACUGAAGUCUGCCCUCUACUGGUCACAAGCAGCCCAAACCCACACCACAAAGCCACUGAAGAGUUUGCUUCUAAAAUCGUUUCUUCUCCAGGAACAUUUUGGAAAUUGCUACAAUUUAUUUAGCUAGAGAAAUACAAAGAAAUGACAUCUUCUG